UUUUCCGGUUGAUCCCGCCGGACCCUACUGCUAUCGGGGUGGGACUAAAACAUGCGAGUUGAACGCUUCCCAGCCACGACGGAAGCGUAGCAAACGGCUCAGUAACACGUGGCCAACCUACCCUCAGGACGAAGACAACCCCGGGAAACUGGGGCUAAUCCCCGAUAGACGAGGACACCUGGAAUGGGUCUUCGUCUAAAAGACACCACAGCCAUGCUUUGUGGUGCCGCCUGAGGAUGGGGCCGCGACCGAUCAGGCUGUUGGUGAGGCAAUGGCUCACCAAACCUAUAACCGGUACGGGCCGUGGGAGCGGGAGCCCGGAGAUGGGCACUGAGACAAGGGCCCAGGCCCUACGGGGCGCAGCAGUUGCGAAAACUCCGCAAUGCACGAAAGUGUGACGGGGCUACCCCGAGUGCCGUCCGCUGAGGAUGGCUUUUCUCUGCUGUAAGGAGGCGGAGGAAUAAGGAGAGGGCAAGCCUGGUGUCAGCCGCCGCGGUAAUACCAGCUCUCCGAGUGGUAGGGAUGAUUAUUGGGCUUAAAGCGUCCGUAGCCUGCCUUUCAAGUCUCUCGUUAAAUCCAGCGAUUCAAUCGUUGGACUGCGGGAGAUACUGUUGGGCUAGGGGGCGGGAGAAGCCGACGGUAUUUUCGGGGUAGGGGUAAAAUCCUAUAAUCCCGGGAAGACCACCAGUGGCGAAGGCGGUCGGCUAGCACGCGCCCGACGGUGAGGGACGAAAGCUGGGGGAGCGAACCGGAUUAGAUACCCGGGUAGUCCCAGCUGUAAACGAUGCGGGCUAGGUGUUGGGGCGGCCACGAGCCGCUUCAGUGCCGCAGGGAAGCCAUUAAGCCCGCCGCCUGGGGAGUACGGCCGCAAGGCUGAAACUUAAAGGAAUUGGCGGGGGAGCACCACAAGGGGUGAAGCUUGCGGUUUAAUUGGAGUCAACGCCGGAAAUCACUAGU
rnacentral:rRNA from 1 species